rnacentral:rRNA from 1 species
GUCGAGCGGCAGCGCGGGGGCAACCCUGGCGGCGAGCGGCGAACGGGUGAGUAACACAUCGGAACGUACCCUGUCGUGGGGGAUAGCCCGGCGAAAGCCGGAUUAAUACCGCAUACGACCUGAGGGUGAAAGCGGGGGAUCGCAAGACCUCGCGCGAUAGGAGCGGCCGAUGGCGGAUUAGCUAGUUGGUGAGGUAAAGGCUCACCAAGGCGACGAUCCGUAGCUGGUCUGAGAGGACGACCAGCCACACUGGAACUGAGACACGGUCCAGACUCCUACGGGAGGCAGCAGUGGGGAAUUUUGGACAAUGGGGGCAACCCUGAUCCAGCCAUUCCGCGUGAGUGAAGAAGGCCUUCGGGUUGUAAAGCUCUUUCGGCAGGAACGAAACGGUGGAGGCUAAUACCUUUCAUCAAUGACGGUACCUGAAGAAGAAGCACCGGCUAACUACGUGCCAGCAGCCGCGGUAAUACGUAGGGUGCGAGCGUUAAUCGGAAUUACUGGGCGUAAAGCGUGCGCAGGCGGUUCUAUAAGACAGAUGUGAGAUCCCCGGGCUUAACCUGGGAACUGCGUUUGUGACUGUAGGACUGGAGUGUGGCAGAGGGGGGUGGAAUUCCACGUGUAGCAGUGAAAUGCGUAGAGAUGUGGAGGAACACCGAUGGCGAAGGCAGCCCCCUGGGUUAACACUGACGCUCAUGCACGAAAGCGUGGGGAGCAAACAGGAUUAGAUACCCUGGUAGUCCACGCCCUAACGAUGCGAACUAGGUGUUGGAGAAGGAGACUUCUUUAGUACCGUAGCUAA